AUUGAACGCUGGCGGCAGGCCUAACACAUGCAAGUCGAGCGAGCGGCGGACGUGUUAGUAAUGUAUCGGGAUCUGCCUGAUAGAUGGCGAUAACUACUGGACACGGUUGCUACUACCGUCUACUUUCGGCUGAGCCCAUAUGGGAGUAGCUAGUAGGUGGGGUAAAGGCUCACCUAGGCGACGAUCUCUACCUGGUCUGAGAGGAUGAUCAGCCACACUGGAACUGAGACACGGCCCAGACUCCUACGGGAGGCAGCAGUGGGGAAUAUGGCACAAUGGGCGAAAGCCUGAUGCAGCCAUGCCGCGUGUAUGAAGAAGGCCUUAGGGUUGUAAAGUACUUUCAGCGGGGAGGCGUUACCCGCAGAAGAAGCACCGGCUAACUCCGUGCCAGCAGCCGCGGUAAUUC
rnacentral:rRNA from 1 species